GAAAACGUGUUCUGUACCCUUUGCGUUGCUUCUCUAGGAAAACAAAAGUUAUUGUUUCCAAAUGCAGAGAGACAUCUGUGACAAUAUAUAUAUAUUGAUGGAGAAGGAGAAGAUGAAGGACGGAGUUCUGCCAGAAUCUCAAGAAAUGAUGGAACAGAAUGCUUUUCGAACUAUGCAAAUGGAGCUACACCAAAAGGGGGCAGUUCUGACAAAAGCCUGGUCUGAACUUUUUUCAUUUCUGACGAAGUACCAAGGUGAACUCUUAUUGAAAGAAAACUCAGUGGAAAUUGCUGCUAACGAGAUCGACAUUCGUAAGAAGCAGUUGGAAGAAUUGAAACCUGCAGUUGCUGCUGGAUCAGAAGAGAUUUCUAGACUGCAGGAUGAAGUACAUGCUAAAGAGAGACUGUUGAAUAAAACACACUCAGAACUCAAUGUGAAAGAACAAAUGUUACAGCAUGUGCAAUCAGAUUUGACUAGCAAUAUUGGACUUUUAGAUUCAACGCGGUUAGAACUUUUAGACAAACGUACCGAAUUGAUAAAACAUCAAGGCGAAUAUGAAAAAUUAAAAUCGACAUUGACCUUAAAAGAAGAACAAAUAGCUGUUAAAGACAGUUUAUUGAAGAAGUUACAGAAUCAACUGAUGCAGGAGAAUGCAGAACUCAAAGAGCAGUUGGAGAUGGAGCGAAGAGCACAUCAGGAGAAAGUUCGAUCUUUAGAGAUGGAGAGGAGGGCACAUGAAGCAACAAAGAAAACGCUUUUAAAUUCUUUUGGUAAAUCUGUGAUAGAGAUUCCUGAUUCCCCGCCGACGUUAGAUCUCUCGGUCGUCGAACAGACAGACUUUGCGCUGGCAAACAUAAUUUCCCAUACCGGUACUCAGUCACCUCCAAAUUCUGGGGCACGGACGAGAUUUGAACAUUCUGGGAGAAGCCAUUAUACAUGGGCCUUGACAUCUCAGGCCCAGUCAACCUCAUCUUCAUCAAAAUUUUCUGGUGCUUCUCGAAUGACAGAAUCUACCCCAACACAAGAACAAAAUUUUCAAACUUCUAACGAUUCCGCUACAUGUACCUCAGCAAGUGAGGUGUUCUUUCCGUUGAGUAUUUCACCACAAGACACAAAGAGUGGCAUAGACACCACACUGACUGAUACAGAAAUGACUGAACCUGUUCCUGUAUCAGGUCUGAUUCGCACAGACUUUGACAGUAAUGAACAGUUCAGUUCUAUCAGGAUGUCACCAGGGGGUGAUCUAGAGGAUGGAAAGACUGGCUGGCACAAGAUGAAUAGUUUUGUAUAAUGACAAGUACUUAGCAGCACCAUCCCAAUUUCCAUGCAAGAACCACUUCAGUAAGAGAGCAUAUCAAGAACGCUCAGCCAGAGAUGCUUCUCCUUGUGUAGUGAAGAGUGCUGAGCUAUGGAUUCACUUCACCUCACCACCAUCCCCAAUUUCUUGGAGGGGUUAAUUCAUAUUGUGAACUUAAUGAGGAUCAACAUUGAAGACGAAAACUGGGCUAAAAAGAACGACUGGCCAGGAUGGUUGCACCAAGCUGCACCUUAGACAACUGUUUGGCGAAGCAUCUCUGGAUCAUGAUUGAAGACUGGUUCCCUACAUGCAAGAGCAUGGUGAAAAACAAGGACUUAGGCUGGAAUAGUGGCCCGAGAUGUUAAGAGUGGACGACUGUCUGCAAAGUCAAGAGGUUCUCGCCUAUUUCAAGAUCCGGGGUAUGGAUGUCACCAAGGUUGCCCAAGAGAGACCCGGCACCAUAUUAUUGCAGGAAAAGACUACGCGGUUUCGUUACAUGGCUAAGUAUCCACUGACAAACUGUCAAAAAGGGAUGGCGACUUGUGUGCCUCCCAGCUCCCCUGUAAAUAUACAACUUGAAAUGAUUCCUUGCCUGUGAUCUAAGGCAAAGUGAAGGCUGCUGAAACAGAUGCCAGUCAUUGGACUUGUGACAGUGAUGGCUUGCCUGCACAGGAACAAAAAUUUGCGAUUGGCCAAUUUAAGGACAACCAAAAGUUGACACCACAUUGGCAUUGCAUUUACAGGCAUUGACAACAUCACUAGGCCACUGAGAGUGAGGACGAGUCUGUGACAGGAUGCCUUGCCACAUAUCUACAUGGUAGCUGCCUCACUUAGGCAAAUGUUGAGAGAAGAGCCACUCGAUGAAAGGAUGAAUGCGACCAGGAUGUCAAAGUUGGAGAAAAGUUUAUGACUGUGUAAUGGCUUACUGAUUUAUGAUAGGUCUAUUUCUGUUCCAGCAUGGUUUCAAGAUAUGAGGACAGGGACAAAACAAGAGAGGCCUGGUGAAACCAUCACUUAGCAGUGAUGCACUUCGAAGCUCACAUUUGGAACAUCUACUUUGGACGAGACCUAGGUUUGCACCAAGAACAUUUAAAAAAAAAUUCCCCCACCAAUAUUGCCAAUGCCACCAGCAAGAGUGUUUUGAAAAUUGUUUUUUGCCAAUGCUUUGGUUAAAGCGUUACAUCCUCAGAUGAUACAGAACAUGCAGGACAUGGAAAAUGUCAAGAAGAACUGUGUGGCACCGAAAAUACCUGAAGAUUGACUUUUUCAGCUAAGAAUGACUUUGUAAUUGUCGGCCAAAAGGUUUAGAUGUUGUAAAUUGCUCAGGACUAUGGCUUACUCUUAAGGUAGCCUUAAAAACAUUUCAUCCUGGAUGCAGAGAAAGACUGUAGUUGGAUUACUUGUUAAUUAGUUUGAGUGUUAGUUUUCACUGUUGAAGGAUACAUACACAGAUGUGAAUCGGCAGUGAAGCCACUGAAGGUCCUUCUCAAGCGAGGAACCAAUGUCUUGGUAUUGCAGCCAUUGUAGCUUAAGUAGUGUAGUGACCUAGAUGUGGUUGUAUCCAGUUAUUAAAAUCCAUGGGGUUAGUCGCAUUUAACCUUGAGACUGUUGGACUCGGUCCACUGAAUGUGAUAAAAUCAUCAUAGUUGAAUGUCUAGUUCUGCCAAUUAUUCUGGAAUUCGGUGAGGGGUGAAAACUAUAUUUCUUUCUAAAAAUACUGUAAAUGAGGUGUUUUACCUAAAUUGGAAUGCUAUGUUGAAAAUAAAAGUACUCAGAAAGUCCUUUCAGAAGGUAAAUAAUGCAAGUAGCUUUGAUGAUUGAUUGAUUUUUUUUUUAAUUGUUCAAAAUAGUGUUUUUGAAGAAAAUCACAUCCUGCUAUUGCGACAGAAAAAAUAAUGCGAUCUCAAAGAGUUAAAAUCCACAAGGUUAGUCAAUAAUCUUGAGUCUGUUGGACUAGGUCCACUGAACUUGAUAAAUAAUCUACACUGAUUUACAAAUGAAAUGAAGAGUCUGCAUUUUGGUGCAACUCCAUAUAACUGUUAGGUGAUUUCGCUCUGAACUUGUGAUACUCUGAUCGGUCUGAAAUAAUCAUUAUCCCGCCCCUCUGGGAAAAAUUUUCAGCCAGAUUGCACCAUUUCCUGUUGACCGUCUGAGAGAUGGCGAUGUCAGGGGUGCAUGACGGUGGUUAAACCUAUUGCGAAUGGGCAGCACAAUUGGGUGUAGGAUAUUCGGAAACCAUUGCACACUCCUGAAUCUGCGGUGGGUUGGUACCCCACGCUACGUAAGGAGUAGGUUGACGGGUAAGCCUUGGUCCACGUGAAUGGGUCGUGCCUUAAAAAUGAUGAGAAGUUGCGAAUUGACGCCCUGUGAAGUGUCCUUCGACCAGCUAGUGCUAAUCCGGUCACUGUCUCCAGGUCACCAUGCCUCGGUCAAUGAGCGGGCGAAGCACCCAAUGGCUCCGUCAGGAGUACAUCGUCAACUUCAGCCCGUAGUCAAACCGGUACAUGCACAAAUAUCUUAGUUGAGAGUGGGGGACAUCAGUAAAGUGCUUCUCAUCGGGGUAAUACAGUACCACUGUAUACAAUGACCCCAUUUUUUGUUGGAUUCAUUUCCACUGAGGAGUGGUCGAUAAUGAGAAUUUCAGGCCAGUCUGAUUAUCACCAGUACAGAGGGCAAUUAUCUAAUAGUUAUGUGGCUUUCCCUCAAACUGUAUACUCUUUCAUGUCAAUUGUAAAUUAGUGUUGCUUGGUAGUGUUCAGGGUCUUUUUGUCGAACAGGCACAUUUGCAUACCAGUAGUUAUGUGCAAACAUCAUUUUUGCUUUGAAGCAAUAUCGUUGCUACACUCCUAAAGCAGUGGCAGUGUUCAGGUCUUGUCUGCCUCGCUGACAUAUCUGCAUACCAGUAGUCAUGUGCAGACUUAGCUCUUUCUUUGGAGCAGUACAGUUGUAAGAUAAAUCCUGUUUGUAAUUUUAUAAAUUAGUUACUCAUCAAGGGCUUACGAAGGUUUUGAUGCCUUGCUGGCAUAUCUGCAUACCAGUAAAUAUGUGCAGAUUCAUUUCUUGCUUUGAAGCAAUAUUGUUGCUACACUCCUAAAGCGGUGGCAAUGUUCAGGUCUUUUCUGCCUCGCGGGCAAAUCUGCAUACCAGUAAUUAUGUGCAAACUUGGCUCUUCCUGAGAUUAUAGGACUGGGUCCAUUGAAUGUAACAAAAAUAAUCGAUGCCUAUUUACAAAUGAAAUGAAGAGUCUGCAUUUUGGUGCAACUCCAUAUAACUGUUAGGUGAUUUCGCUCUGAACUUGUGACACUCUGAUCGGUCUGAAAUAAUCAUUAUCACGCCCCUCUGGGAAAAAUUUGCAGCCAGAUUGCACCAUUUCCUGUUGACCGUCUGAGAGAUGGCGAUGUCAGGGGUGCAUGACGGUGGUUAAACCUAUUGCGAAUGGGCAGCACAAUUGGGUGUAGGAUAUUCGGAAACCAUUGCACACUCCUGAAUCUGCGGUGGGUUGGUACCCCACGCUACGUAAGGAGUAGGUUGACGGGUAAGCCUUGGUCCACGUGAAUGGGUCGUGCCUUAAAAAUGAUGAGAAGUUGCGAAUUGACGCCCUGUGAAGUGUCCUUCGACCAGCUAGUGCUAAUCCGGUCACUGUCUCCAGGUCACCAUGCCUCGGUCAAUGAGCGGGCGAAGCACCCAAUGGCUCCGUCAGGAGUACAUCGUCAACUUCAGCCCGUAGUCAAACCGGUACAUGCACAAAUAUCUUAGUUGAGAGUGGGGGACAUCAGUAAAGUGCUUCUCAUCGGGGUAAUACAGUACCACUGUAUACAAUGACCCCAUUUUUUGUUGGAUUCAUUUCCACUGAGGAGUGGUCGAUAAUGAGAAUUUCAGGCCAGUCUGAUUAUCACCAGUACAGAGGGCAAUUAUCUAAUAGUUAUGUGGCUUUCCCUCAAACUGUAUACUCUUUCAUGUCAAUUGUAAAUUAGUGUUGCUUGGUAGUGUUCAGGGUCUUUUUGUCGAACAGGCACAUUUGCAUACCAGUAGUUAUGUGCAAACAUCAUUUUUGCUUUGAAGCAAUAUCGUUGCUACACUCCUAAAGCAGUGGCAGUGUUCAGGUCUUGUCUGCCUCGCUGACAUAUCUGCAUACCAGUAGUUAUGUGCAGACUUAGCUCUUUCUUUGGAGCAGUACAGUUGUAAGAUAAAUCCUGUUUGUAAUUUUAUAAAUUAGUUACUCAUCAAGGGCUUACGAAGGUUUUGAUGCCUUGCUGGCAUAUCUGCAUACCAGUAAAUAUGUGCAGAUUCAUUUCUUGCUUUGAAGCAAUAUUGCUGCUACACUCCUAAAGCGGUGGCAAUGUUCAGGUCUUUUCUGCCUCGCGGGCAAAUCUGCAUACCAGUAAUUAUGUGCAGACUUGGCUCUUCCUGAGAUUGUAGGACUGGGUCCAUUGAAUGUAACAAAAAUAAUCGAUGCCUAUUUACAAAUGAAAUGAAGAGUCUGCAUUUUGGUGCAACUCCAUAUAACUGUUAGGUGAUUUCGCUCUGAACUUGUGACACUCUGAUCGGUCUGAAAUAAUCAUUAUCACGCCCCUCUGGGAAAAAUUUGCAGCCAGAUUGCACCAUUUCCUGUUGACCGUCUGAGAGAUGGCGAUGUCAGGGGUGCAUGACGGUGGUUAAACCUAUUGCGAAUGGGCAGCACAAUUGGGUGUAGGAUAUUCGGAAACCAUUGCACACUCCUGAAUCUGCGGUGGGUUGGUACCCCACGCUACGUAAGGAGUAGGUUGACGGGUAAGCCUUGGUCCACGUGAAUGGGUCGUGCCUUAAAAAUGAUGAGAAGUUGCGAAUUGACGCCCUGUGAAGUGUCCUUCGACCAGCUAGUGCUAAUCCGGUCACUGUCUCCAGGUCACCAUGCCUCGGUCAAUGAGCGGGCGAAGCACCCAAUGGCUCCGUCAGGAGUACAUCGUCAACUUCAGCCCGUAGUCAAACCGGUACAUGCACAAAUAUCUUAGUUGAGAGUGGGGGACAUCAGUAAAGUGCUUCUCAUCGGGGUAAUACAGUACCACUGUAUACAAUGACCCCAUUUUUUGUUGGAUUCAUUUCCACUGAGGAGUGGUCGAUAAUGAGAAUUUCAGGCCAGUUUGAUGUCACUAGUCCAGAGGGAAAAUACCUGAUAUUUAUGUGGCAUUCCUUCAAACUGUUUACUCUUUCGUGUCAUUCAUUAAGUAGUAUUGGUCGUUUUACCUCGCAUCUCAUGGGCAGAAAGAACAGUUGGGUGGAGUCCUGAUGCUUCCUGUUGUUGGUCUUUGACUAAAGAUCAUAAUCACUUGGGGUAGUUCUGUGAUUCCUUUUAUCAUGGGCAGGCCCCUUUUCUAAAACCUGUCAUUGUUGUAAAUUUCAAUUAAGAACAAAAUUGUAAAGUAUGCAAGUGUCAUUUUGUUGCUUUAGUGUUUAUGGCUUUGUAUUGUUAGAUUAG